AACCUGGUUGAUCCUGCCAGUAGCCGUAUGCUUGUCUCAAAGAUUAAGCCAUGCAAGUCUAAGAAUAAUCCACUUUAUUCGGAGAAUCUGCGAUUCGCUCAUUAUAUAGAUCAUCAUCCCUUUGGAAACGACACGCUGCACGGAUACCUGUGGCAACUCUAGAGCUAAUACGUUAAUAGACGGGUUUCUCACGGAACUCGGCAUUUAUUAGAUUUCGCAUCAUAUACUUUGAUGAUUCAUAGUAACUUUUCGGACCAUGCAAAUGGUAGUCCAUUCGAAUUUUUUCCCCAUCAGGUCUCGUUGUUUGUAUAGAGGACAAACAAGCCGUUCACGGGUGACAGGGAGUUAGGGCUCGAUUCUGGAGAGGGAGCCUUAGAAACAGCUACCACAUCCAAGGAAGGCAGCAGGCGCGUAAAUUUCGCAAUGGGGAUACCCCGACGAAGUGACCAGAAGUACAGAGGUUAUUGCUCUAUGCAAAAACCAUCUGAAUGAGUACCAUUUAAAACACGUAACGAUGAUCCACUAGAGGGCAAGUCUGGUGCCAGCAGCUGCGGUAAUUCCAGCUCUAGUAGCGUAUAUUAAUGUUGCUGCAGUUAGAAAGCUCGUAGUUCGUUUUCGGGGCCUGAAGUCUUGGUUCGGCGGCUUUUAUGUCGACUGUAUACCUUGAUUGUUUCAGGCUCUUCCUUUAGGCACCUUUUACUAGGCUGCCUAAACUUCUACUGAAAUCAAAUAGACACGUUCCACGUAUACUUACGUAUGAACUAUCCCGCUUGGAAUAAAACCUUAGGACUCGUGGGUUUUAUACGAUGCAAUCU
rnacentral:rRNA from 1 species